CACAGCGGAGAGGGAGGCAGGGGGGAGGUGGCGCCCGGCCCGACGCGGGGCAGGAAGGCGGAGGCGACGGCGUAGGCGGCGGCGACAGCCGCGGGGUACCCCGGCGGGCGCCCACGACGCGGUGAGCUGCAUGGGCGCCGCCAUAGUGGGGACGCAGCGGCGGGCGGGGCCCGCGGCCGCGACCCUGUCGGGCGCCUGCGACCAAUGGGCUCGCGGAAGCUGGGCGGAGCGAGGGCCUGGCCAAUGCGGAGCUGCACUGCCCCGAGCAGCCCAAUAGACGCAGGAGCCGCGGAUUUGCCGUCCCGCCCACCCCGCCUACCACGAGACCAGUGCCGCGGCGAGUGCGGGGCGAGAGGUUCGAGCUGGUGGAGCGCCCCAGCCUGCAAGUUCAGCGUGGGUGUCUCUCCUGGGCACAUCGAGCCGUCUAGAGGAACCCUCUUCCCCCGGCUUCACGGCCCAGAGGACGCACGGCUGUCUCCCCUCGAGAGCCUGUUUCGUCGCCUGCGCGGGGAACGCAAAGGGCUAGGGUAGUCACGGCCACUUCACGCCGAGGGACAUCUCAUCUCGCCCUCCAGGUCGUGAGCGCACCCAUUCCGCUCACUGAGGCCGAAAGCCUCGGACCUCCAUGGGCCCUGAGACUUCAGAGUUCCAUGUCUGCUGUGCUGUGGAACCCAGAGUGCUCUUGCCUGGAUGGCUGAGAAUCCCUUGGACCCUGGAAGCACCUACUCCAUGAUGGCCCGGUAUAGUGCAGGCUCAAUAUAAUCUUCCCGGUAUCUUGAGUUGAUAACUCGUUGCCGUUUCUUUUCUUGCUUAACCUCUUUCUCUGUGAAAAUCUCAUUGAAGCGCAUGUCUGAGGCUACUGACUAUAGGAGAAUAAGCAAGCCAGAUGUCAGCUACCCCAGGAACAACACAAAGGGAUGCAUCCUUGACUUGUUCCCUCCCUCCACGACAGGAACUGGGGACACACAGAAAAUACUCACCAGUCUAGAUUUGACUCUCUUGGGAAGCUCUUCAUCCAGUGUGUAUACAUCAUCUCUCUUAACCACAAGCUGUGAGCCAUCCUCAAACUCCACCUACCAAGGAAACAAAGGCCUUUUGGCUAGGAUAUCCCUGACUCUUUCCCUGGUCCACCAUGCACAGUGGCAGUCCCCUACAGUCAAAGGAAGGAGGAAGAACACUAAAAUAACGACUACCUUACUUCACAUUUGGCAGACUGGACACAGGGCAGAUACCUAGCUCUGAAAGGGUUACCAACCUAUUAGUUCUCCUAAGAGCAAAGGCUCGCCUCUGGCCCAACAGGAAGCACAGAAUUAAUGAAGCACCCCCCACUCCCUAGAAAGGUAGAACUUUGGAUACCUGGUACAUUUGGAUAGGGUGGGAGGCCACAAACUUGGCUCCAUAGACUUGGCCGUCUGUCCAUCUCACUUGGACCACUUCUCCUUCAGCAGGAGGACCAAACUGGAGACAGUCCUGGCUCUGAGAAACAGGAAGGAAGGAGGGUGAAAGGAAGGUCCACCUGCACACAAAGGAAAAAGAAUCACCUACCAUGGGACCUGGCAAAGUACUUCAGAACUUUUAUUCCUUCCAGAAGCAGGUAAGUACCCCAAGUCCUCAUCGUAUUCCCAGCAUAGGGCUUGGUAUACGGGGGGAUAUUUCACUCAGCAUAUUGGCUGAAUGAAAGGUCUGAUGGGUAUACCUGGGAGAAGGUUCUUAGGGACAUGGCUUAAAAAAUAAAAAUGAGAGAGGGGCAGGGCAGUGAGUCUAAAAGGAUGUGGAUGCUCACAUCUGCUCUUACAAUCAUGCUACAUUGAGUGGAAACAGUUCCCUACUUAUUGACAAUUCAUUUAUUGAAUAGGUAAUCAGUAAAUACAGUUUGUAUCAAUCUAACAAUUAGGCAUAAACUACAGCCUCCUACACCCAAUAUCUGAGGUGUUCUAAGAUUUAACUACUCAAAUGUUUGAUAUUUGAUAAAUUGCUUAAGUUCUCUGCAAUUCAGUUCCACCUCCUGUAACAGCACUUCUGAAAAUGUGGUCUGUGAACCUCUGAGGGGUUCCUGAGACACUGUCAGGGAGCAAGUGAGACAUGACUAUUUUUAUAAUAUUAAACUAUUAGCCUUUGUCACUGUGUUGUCAUUUACCUAGGAUAGGUACAACCGCUGGCACCUGAGCACAAAUCAAGGCACUGACCCUAAGCUCUACUAGUUGUUACUGCAUUUUUCACCACUGUACACUCAUAAUUUAGGAGAAAAGAGCAAAAACUCUCGAUUGCAUGUAACAAUAUCCCUUGAUGAAGCAGUAAAAAAUUAUUAAUCUUUUAAAAUCUUAAUCAUUGAGUACAUGUGUUAAGUCCUCAUAAGACACUUUUGGUUGUCUCAAAGAAAUCUAUCUGUGUUGUUUGAGUUGUGAAUUACACUAGCUGCUUUGUUCAUGGAAUACCAGUUUUAUUUGAAAAAAAUUACUAGGCUAGGCAUAGUGGCUCGUGCCUGUAAUCCCUCACUUUGGGAGGCAGAGGUAGGAGGAUCGCAUCAGCCCAGGAGUUCAAGACCAGCCUGGGCAACACAGGGGAGAUCCCAUCUCUACAAAACAUAAAAAAUUAGCCAGGUGUGGUGGCACGCGCCUGUAGUCCCAGCUACUCGGAAGACUGAGGACUGCCUGAGGCCAGGAGGAUGACGCUGCAGUGAGCCAUGACCACACCACUGCACUCCAGCCGUGGUGCUGCACAACAGAGCAGGACCCUGUAUUUAAAAAACUCUAUGAAAAUUUUAAAAAAGAAAAAAAGUGACUGACAAACUGGCUUUUCAGACUUAGGUAUCUGGCAGACAUCUUGAAAAUGCAUGAAGUGAACGCCUGUCAUGUCAAGGAAAACAAAAGUCAGUAUCUGUUGCCAAUAAUAAAAUUCAGGCUUUCAAGCAAAUAUUAGCAUUUCAGAGAAGCGGCAUUCACAACUGUGAGCUUGAAACUUCCCAAAAUUCUAAGUUUUUUGAUUAUUAUUGGUGAUACUAACAAAUGUAAUUUUUAAAAUAUUUAUGGCCAGGCGUGGUGGCUCAUGCCUGUAAUCUCAGCACUUUGGGAGGCCAAGGUGGGCAGAUCACGAGGUCAAGAGAUUGAGUCCAUCCUGGACAACAUGGGGAAACCCUGUCUCUACUAAAAAUACAAAAAUUAGUUGGGCGUGGUGGCGUGCACCUGUAGUCCCAGCUACUUGGGAGGCUGAGGCAGGAGAAUCGCUUGAACCUGGCAGGUGGAGGUUGCAGUGAGCCAAGAUCGCACCACUGCACUCCAGCCUGGCGACAGAGUGAGACUCUGUCUCAAAAUAAAUAAAUAAAUAAAUAAAUAAAUUUAUAAUAAUAUUUAACAACAUUUGGAGGCUGUCCAUAGGCCAGUGCACCAAUAUUUUCUAAAUGACCAAUGUAUGAUGUUAUAAAAGGAUGCAUGGGUGAAAGAUCCAUUCAGAAGAGACCAAUGGGUUUUAGUGUUAACAAUAUGAAACGUUCACUGACCUUUCAGAUUCCACACUGCAACUAACUUUUAAGAACCUGCCAGGAGCAGUGGCUCACACCUGUAAUCCCAGCACUUUGGGAGGUUGAGGCAAAAGAAUCGCUUGAGCCCAGGAGUUUGAGACUACCCUGGGCAAGAUGGCAAGACCCCAUUUCUACAAAUAGCCAGGCAUGCCUGUAGUCCCAGCUACUCGGGAAGUGCUUGGUCAACAAAGCAAGACAUCAUCUCUUAAAAAAAAAAAAAAAAAAAAAAAAGUUGUUACUUCCAUUGAGUUUUGGUGGAUAUCAGAGAAUAAUAAACACAAUUACCUGAAAGACUAUUAAAAUACCUCUCUUGGCUGGGUGUGGUGGCUCACAGAUGUAAUCCCAGCACUUUGGGAGGCCAAGGUAGGUGGAUUGCUUGAGCCCAGGAGUUUUGAGACCAGCCUGGGCAACAAGGCAAAGCCCUAUCUCUACAAAAAAAAUUAAAAAAUUAGCUGGGCACCAGUGACAAGCGCCUGUAGUCCCAGCUACUUGGGAGGCUGAGGCAGCAGAAUCACUUGAGCCUGGUAUGUGGAGGUUGCAGUGAGUUGAGAUCACUGCACUGCACUCCAACGUGGGUAACGGGAGUGAAACCCUAUCUUAAAAAAACAAAAACAAAAAAACUCCUUUUUCCAAUUACAUAUCUAUGCAAAGCUGAAUUUUCUUCCUAUACUUGAACCUAAACAGUGUAUCACAAUAGAUUGAAUCAAGAAGUGACAUUAAGGCCGGCGCGGUGGCUCACACCUGUAAUCCCAGCACUUUGGGAGUCCGAGGCGGGCGGAUCACGAGAUCGGGAGAUCAAGACCAUCCUGGCUAACAUGGUGAAACCCCAUGUCUACUAAAAAUACAAAAAAUUAGCCGGGCAUGGUGGCGGGCGCCUGUAGUCCCAGCUACUCGGGAGGCUGAGGCAGGAGAAUGGCGUGAACCUGGGAGGCAGAGCCUGCAGUGAGCCAAGAUCAUGCCACCGUACUCCAGCCUGGGCAACAGAGCGAGACUCCAUCUCAAAAAAAAAAAAAAAAGUGACAUUAAACUCUUUGGGGUCUCUAACUUGUAGAAAAUGGAGUCCUGAAACCACUGUAAGUUAGAGAUAAUACCACAUCCUUCUCACAGUGGGUAUGAGAAGAUAAAGAGAUACUUGAAAUAACCACUUAGCAUAGUGCCUGGCAUACUGUACCAGCUUAAUAAAUUACAGCAAGGGCCAGGUAUGGUGGCUCAAACUCUUGUAAUCCCAGUGGUUUGGGGGCCCAAGAUGUGAGGAUCGCUUCAAGCUGGGAGAUCGAGACCAGCAUGAGCAACAAAUCAAGACUGUUGUCGCUACAAAAAAUUUAAAAAUUAGCCAGGCGUGACUGCAUGUGCCUGUAGUCCCAGCUACCUGGGAAGCUGAAGCAGGAGGAUCACUUGAGUUCAGGAGUUUGAGAUUGCAGGAGCUAUGAUACAGCCACUGCACUCCAGCCUAAGUGACAGAGUGAGACCUGGUCUCUCAAAAAAAAAAAAAAUAAGGCCAGGCACAGUGGCUCACGCCUGUAAUCCCAACACUUUGGGAGGCCAAGGUGGGCAGAUCACUUGAGCCCAGGAGUUCGAGACCAGCCUGGGCAACAUGGCAAAAGCCCGUCUCUACAAAAAAUUAAAAAAUUAGCUGGCUGUGGUGGUGCGUGCCUGUAGUCCCAGCUACCAGGGAGGCUGAGGUGGGAUGAUCACCUCAAUCCAGAAGUUGAGGCUGCAGUGAGCUGAGACUGUGCCACUGUACUGCAGCCUGGGAGUCAGAGUGAAACCCUGUCUCACAAAUAAAAUAUAAAUAAAUGAUAGCUAUACUACUGCUAUGAGUACUACUAAUGUUGCCUUUUCUAUAAGUCUACUUCAUAACUAAUGAAUGUGCUUUUAGCAACUGAGUGGCUAAUGUGGUAUAA